GCAGCAACAGCUCAGUGGUAGAGCCCCCGCUUCGCGUGCGGGGAGAUCCGGGUUCGAUUUUCCGGCUGCUUCC
rnacentral:tRNA from 1 species